UACGUAGGGUGCGAGCGUUAAUCGGAAUUACUGGGCGUAAAGCGUGCGCAGGCGGUUUUCCAAGACAGAUGUGAAAUCCCCGGGCUCAACCUGGGAAUGGCAUUUGUGACUGCAUCGCUGGAGUGCGGCAGAGGGGGAUGGAAUUCCGCGUGUAGCAGUGAAAUGCGUAGAUAUGCGGAGGAACACCGAUGGCGAAGGCAAUCCCCUGGGCCUGCACUGACGCUCAUGCACGAAAGCGUGGGGAGCAAACAGG
rnacentral:rRNA from 1 species